UCCCUGGUGGCUGGUAAAGAACCUGUCUACAAUGCAGGAGACUCAGGUUUGAUUCCUGGGUCAGGGAG
rnacentral:tRNA from 1 species